AGAACGAACGCUGGCGGCAGGCCUAACACAUGCAAGUCGAGCGCUGUAGCAAUACAGAGCGGCGCACGGGAGAGUAAUACGUGGGAACCUACCCUUUGGUUCGGAACAACGUCGGGAAACUGACGCUAAUACCGGAUAAGCCCUUCGGGGGAAAGAUUUAUUGCCGAAGGAUGGGCCCAUGUUGGAUUAGCUAGUUGGUGAGGUAAUGGCUCACCAAGGCUACGAUCCAUAGCUGGUCUGAGAGGAUGAUCAGCCUCACUGGGACUGAGACACGGCCCAGACUCCUACGGGAGGCAGCAGUGGGGAAUAUUGGACAAUGGGGGAAACCCUGAUCCAGCCAUGCCGCGUGAGUGAUGAAGGCCUCGGGUUGUAAAGCUCUUUGGCGGGAAGAUGAUGACGGUACCGCAGAAUAAGCCCCGGCUAACGUUCGUGCCAGCAGCCGC
rnacentral:rRNA from 1 species